UACGUAAAACUCUGUUGUUAGGGAAGAACAAAUUUGUUAGUAACUGAACAAGUCUUGACGGUACCUAACCAGAAAGCCACGGCUAACUACGUGCCAGCAGCCGCGGUAAUACGUAGGUGGCAAGCGUUAUCCGGAAUUAUUGGGCGUAAAGCGCGCGUAGGCGGUUUCUUAAGUCUGAUGUGAAAGCCCACGGCUCAACCGUGGAGGGUCAUUGGAAACUGGGAAACUUGAGUGCAGAAGAGGAGAGUGGAAUUCCAUGUGUAGCGGUGAAAUGCGCAGAGAUAUGGAGGAACACCAGUGGCGAAGGCGGCUCUCUGGUCUGUAACUGACGCUGAUGUGCGAAAGCGUGGGGAUC
rnacentral:rRNA from 2 species